ensembl:rRNA 5S_rRNA 5S ribosomal RNA
UUUAGAUACUAUAUCACCCUGAGAAUGUCAAAUCUCAUCUGAUCUUGGAAGCUAUACAGGAUCAGGCCUGGUUAGUACUUGAAUGGGUGACUACCUGGGAAUACCAGGUGCUCUAGGC